AACGAACGCUGGCGGCAGGCCUAACACAUGCAAGUCGAACGCCCUAGCAAUAGGGAGUGGCGCACGGGUGCGUAACGCGUGGGAAUAUGCCCUUGACUGCGGAACAACGUCGGGAAACUGACGCUAAUACCGCAUAAUGUCUUCGGACCAAAGAUUUAUCGGUCAAGGAUUAGCCCGCGUCUGAUUAGCUAGUUGGUGAGGUAACGGCUCACCAAGGCGACGAUCAGUAGGGGGUCUGAGAGGAUGAUCCCCCACACUGGGACUGAGACACGGCCCAGACUCCUACGGGAGGCAGCAGUGAGGAAUAUUGGACAAUGGGCGCAAGCCUGAUCCAGCCAUGCCGCGUGAGUGACGAAGGCCUUAGGGUUGUAAAGCUCUUUUACCCGGGAUGAUAAUGACAGUACCGGGAGAAUAAGCCCCGGCUAACUCCGUGCCAGCCGCCGCAGUAA
rnacentral:rRNA from 1 species